CUGGAAAACGGUGUCUAAUACCGGAUACGAGCUUCCACCGCAUGGUGAGGAGUUGGAAAGAAUUUCGGUCUGGGAUGGACUCGCGGCCUAUCAGCUAGUUGGUGAGGUAACGGCCCACCAAGGCGACGACGGGUAGCCGGCCUGAGAGGGUGACCGGCCACACUGGGACUGAGACACGGCCCAGACUCCUACGGGAGGCAGCAGUGGGGAAUAUUGCACAAUGGGCGCAAGCCUGAUGCAGCAACGCCGCGUGAGGGACGACGGCCUUCGGGUUGUAAACCUCUUUUAGUAGGGAAGAAGCGAAAGUGACGGUACCUGCAGAAAAAGCACCGGCUAACUACGUGCCAGCAGCCGCGGUAAUACGUAGGGUGCAAGCGUUAUCCGGAAUUAUUGGGCGUAAAGAGCUCGUAGGCGGUUUGUCGCGUCUGCUGUGAAAACUGGAGGCUCAACCUCCAGCCUGCAGUGGGUACGGGCAGACUAGAGUGCGGUAGGGGAGAUUGGAAUUCCUGGUGUAGCGGUGGAAUGCGCAGAUAUCAGGAGGAACACCGAUGGCGAAGGCAGAUCUCUGGGCCGUAACUGACGCUGAGGAGCGAAAGCAUGGGGAGCGAACAGGAUUAGAUACCCUGGUAGUCCAUGCCGUAAACGUUGGGAACUAGAUGUAGGGACCAUUCCACGGUUUCUGUGUCGCAGCUAACGCAUUAAGUUCCCCGCCUGGGGAGUACGGCCGCAAGGCUAAAACUCAAAGGAAUUGACGGGGGCCCGCACAAGCGGCGGAGCAUGCGGAUUAAUUCGAUGCAACGCGAAGAACCUUACCAAGGCUUGACAUAUACGAGAACGGGCCAGAAAUGGUCAACUCUUUGGACACUCGUAAACAGGUGGUGCAUGGU
rnacentral:rRNA from 1 species